CUCGAUUGCAGUGAUUUUACUAUACGCCUACAUUCGGGUUAUGAUUUAGCAUGCCUUCAACAAGAUUUAGGCGAUGGCUUGUGAGGAUAGUAUCAUAUGGUGUUGCUACUGUUUUACUUGUUCAUCUAGUGUUAUUAUCAUGCUUAAGUUCUGAAACGAUGGGGUCUUUGCAUGCUUGAGAUUUACAUGAUGAUAUGAUACUUAAAUUGAGCUUGAAACGGAGGUGGGGUUACCUUCUCUUGCACUGUUUCUGCUCCCCACUCCUAGCUUCAAUCUCUCUCCCUCUCCAACUUGAUAACGUGCUUGCUGAGUAUGUUGUGGUAGAAGGGGUGAGGCUAAGGGGACUAUACUAUAUAUAUAAGGGUUUGUGUAACUGAAAGCCUGCAAGGCUGGUUGUUUGUGCAGAAAAAGGGUCCCUAGGUUGAUUGUUCAUUGGCUGAUUGCAAUAAGGCAGGGCAUGUACUCGUGAGAAAUAAAUGCAAUUCCAUCCUCAUUUGUUACUCUACUGCAGUGGCCUCAGUCUCUCUGUGUCUUGCAACAUUCUCAUUGAGUUUUUAUGCGGCUUUUUGCAGGUGUACAACUCUGCAAUGUGGUUAACUGAUCCCUGCGGCUGGAUCUCUGCAGAGCUGCUGUGGCUGUGGAUUUUCCUUGGCUUGUAGCAGCUGGGUAUGGACUGUGGAGCGCAGGAAAUGCAGCCCUCCAUACUCCUAAAUUUGGUAACUUUUGGUCUUCAUCAAGGAAAGAGGGCUGAUCACAUCCGGCUGUCAACUGGAUGCCCCGGGCCCAACGGCCGUCGACAAUCGGGCCGAAAACCAGGCCUAAGGAAGGGGCCGAAGCUUAGCAAAUUCUAAAUUGUAGUAGGGUAGUGUUUUUCCAAGCUUUCUUUUCCUUCAACAUGUACGAAACGUUUUAUAAAGUUAGAAUGUAUUAUUUUUCCUUCAUUUUCAUUGUCACCCAUUUGUAAGUUAAGACAUAGUUCGUAAAGUAACAUGUAUUUUAUUUACUUAAGGAAUAAACGGACACAUUCCCAUUUUUA